rnacentral:rRNA from 1 species
GACGAACGCUGGCGGCGUGCUUAACACAUGCAAGUCGAACGUGAUUUUUGUGGAAAUUCUUUCGGGAAUGGAAAUGAAAUGAAAGUGGCGAACGGGUGAGUAACACGUGAGCAACCUACCUUACACAGGGGGAUAGCCGUUGGAAACGACGAUUAAUACCGCAUGAGACCACAGAAUCGCAUGAUAUAGGGGUCAAAGAUUUAUCGGUGUAAGAAGGGCUCGCGUCUGAUUAGCUAGUUGGAAGGGUAAAGGCCUACCAAGGCGACGAUCAGUAGCCGGUCUGAGAGGAUGAACGGCCACAUUGGAACUGAGACACGGUCCAAACUCCUACGGGAGGCAGCAGUGGGGAAUAUUGCACAAUGGGGGGAACCCUGAUGCAGCGACGCCGCGUGAGCGAAGAAGGUUUUCGAAUCGUAAAGCUCUGUCCUAUGAGAAGAUAAUGACGGUAUCAUAGGAGGAAGCCCCGGCUAAAUACGUGCCAGCAGCCGCGGUAGUACGUAUGGGGCGAGCGUUGUCCGGAAUUAUUGGGCGUAAAGGGUACGUAGGCGGUUUUUUAAGUCAGGUGUGAAAGCGUGAGGCUUAACCUCAUUAAGCACUUGAAACUGGAAGACUUGAGUGAAGGAGAGGAAAGUGGAAUUCCUAGUGUAGCGGUGAAAUGCGUAGAUAUUAGGAGGAAUACCGGUGGCGAAGGCGACUU